GGGCACGCUGCUCCCCACGGGAUGUCCCAGCCACGCUCCAGGACCAUCCAUCAUCCGUGGAGGCGCAGUGCCCAACGACCCUUCCCCUAUUUUUAAAGCAUCGCCUUCAGCCCUCCUCUCUCCCGGUGACGGAUGGGGCUGAGCACAGCUCAGCUGUUCGCCCUCCACACCGAUCCCACGGCAGAACCAUUCCAUGCCGGAACACAGAGGGACCCACGACUCAGCGCCGGGGUAGGGGCUGCGCUUCGGGUGGGCUCUCGUUGGAACCCAAAGGAACCUCCAUCCCAUUGCCAGGGGACGGGCAGAGCUUCGGGUGGGGGUCGCACCGCGGUCUCCUGCAGAGGUUUGGGGUUUGGCGGUGGGGAGGGGAAUGCAAUGGAUGGGAAUGUCUUUCCCACGGGAGGGAAGGAAAAGUGUCCCCUCCACGGAGCUGACACCGACCCCAAAGCAG
rnacentral:lncRNA from 1 species